rnacentral:rRNA from 1 species
GAUGAACGCUGGCGGCGUGCCUAAUACAUGCAAGUCGAACGCAUAGCGAAAGGUGCUUGCACCUUUCAAGUGAGUGGCGAACGGGUGAGUAACACGUGGACAACCUGCCUCAAGGCUGGGGAUAACAUUUGGAAACAGAUGCUAAUACCGAAUAAAACUUAGUGUCGCAUGACACAAAGUUAAAAGGCGCUUCGGCGUCACCUAGAGAUGGAUCCGCGGUGCAUUAGUUAGUUGGUGGGGUAAAGGCCUACCAAGACAAUGAUGCAUAGCCGAGUUGAGAGACUGGUCGGGCACAUUGGGGAUGAGACACGGCCCCAACUCCGACGGGAGGCUGACGUAAGGAAUCUUCCACAAUGGGCGAAAGCCUGAUGGAGGAACGCCGCGUGUGUGAUGAAAGCUUUCGGGGCGGAAAGCACUGUUGUAUGGGAAGAACAGCUAGAAUAGGAAAUGAUUUUAGUUUGACGGUACCAUACCAGAAAGGGACGGCUAAAUACGUG